CCUACGGGGGGCAGCAGUGGGGAAUAUUGGACAAUGGGCGAAAGCCUGAUCCAGCCAUGCCGCGUGUGUGAAGAAGGUCUUCGGAUUGUAAAGCACUUUAAGUUGGGAGGAAGGGCAGUAAAUUAAUACUUUGCUGUUUUGACGUUACCGACAGAAUAAGCACCGGCUAACUCUGUGCCAGCAGCCGCGGUAAUACAGAGGGUGCAAGCGUUAAUCGGAAUUACUGGGCGUAAAGCGCGCGUAGGUGGUUCGUUAAGUUGGAUGUGAAAUCCCCGGGCUCAACCUGGGAACUGCAUUCAAAACUGACGAGCUAGAGUAUGGUAGAGGGUGGUGGAAUUUCCUGUGUAGCGGUGAAAUGCGUAGAUAUAGGAAGGAACACCAGUGGCGAAGGCGACCACCUGGACUGAUACUGACACUGAGGUGCGAAAGCGUGGGGAGCAAACAGGAUUAGAUACCCUUGUAGU
rnacentral:rRNA from 1 species